rnacentral:rRNA from 1 species
GAUGAACGCUGGCGGCGUGCCUAAUACAUGCAAGUCGAGCGAAUGGAUUAAGAGCUUGCUCUUAUGAAGUUAGCGGCGGACGGGUGAGUAACACGUGGGUAACCUGCCCAUAAGACUGGGAUAACUCCGGGAAACCGGGGCUAAUACCGGAUAACAUUUUGAACCGCAUGGUUCGAAAUUGAAAGGCGGCUUCGGCUGUCACUUAUGGAUGGACCCGCGUCGCAUUAGCUAGUUGGUGAGGUAACGGCUCACCAAGGCAACGAUGCGUAGCCGACCUGGGAGGGUGAUGGGCCACACUGGGACUGAGCCACGGCCCAGACUCCUACGGGUGGCAGCAGUAGGGAAUCUUCCGCAAUGGACGAAAGUCUGACGGAGCAACGCCGCGUGAGUGAUGAAGGCUUUCGGGUCGUAAAACUCUGUUGUUAGGGAAGAACAAGUGCUAGUUGAAUAAGCUGGCACCUUGACGGUACCUAACCAGAAAGCCACGGCUAACUACGUGCCAGCAGCCGCCGUAA